UACAGGGGGGGCAAGCGUUGUUCGGAAUUACUGGGCGUAAAGGGCUUGUAGGUGGCCAAUUAAGUCAGACGUGAAAUCCCUCAGCUUAACUGGGGAACUGCGUCUGAAACUGGAUGGCUUGAGUUUGGGAGAGGGAUGCGGAAUUCCAGGUGUAGCGGUGAAAUGCGUAGAUAUCUGGAGGAACACCGGUGGCGAAGGCGGCAUCCUGGACCAACACUGACACUGAAAAGCGAAAGCCAGGGGAGCAAACGGG
rnacentral:rRNA from 1 species